GGCCUUUGGUGUCAGACUGUGACUGAUGACACAAGCAGUCUCGUGGACUGAACAACCACAGUGGGAGACAAACGUUGGACUACGAGGUCCACAUAUCCUUCUACAGGGCUGUGUGCAUGAAUCUGCACCAGUGAGAACAUGUGGCAGAGAAUGCUGCCCUCAUGGCAGACAGGACGCACAGAGCUUACCAGACAAGACAGGGACCAGGCCACCAGAGGCCCACUUCCUCCUGCUGGUCCCCCUAGCAGAGUUUCCACUUCCUCAGUCUUGCUGCGGAGAAGGAGGGCUUUCCCUUUGAUUUUACCAUGAAGUGAAGCUCUCCCCAAAGAUCCCAACUCC